rnacentral:lncRNA from 1 species
GUUGUAUGUUAUAUAAGAAUGGUUUCCUUGAGAGGCCAAGAUUUCUUGAUGAUUUAAGAUAAUUAUUGUGUGGACUCAUGGGGUUCCAUGUGUCAAAAGCUGUUCUGGGCUGUCUGUGUGUCAGGAAUAGGGAGAGUGUGGCAAUGAUUGUAGCACCUGUUGAGAAGUCUGGGACUGUGAGAGAGUACACUGGACACAAAUGUGCUGUCAUCAAGACAUUCUGUGUACUAAGGUACACUGAAUGAUCAGGUGUCUUAGAAAAUAAGAUUAUGUCUUUAUAUGAUCAAAAUACCUUAUGGAGCUGGACAAGGUGGGGCAUACCUGUAAUCCCAGCUACUAAAGAGAUCGAGGCAAGAGGAUCUUAAGUUCAAGGCCAGCUUAGGAGACUUAGUGAGAACCUGUCUGAAAAUUGAAAGGACUGGAGAUGUAACUCAGGGGUAGAGAAUUUGCUUACAUGUAUGAGGCUCUGGGUUCAGUCCCUAGCACCACACACACACACACGCACACAGACCCAUGGGCAGGCCUUAUAAUCAGGGUAUCUCCUAGACUGGGGUUGGGUAUUGAGUGGUUUUUCAGUGGUGGUAUAUCUUGUACAAGAAUAGAGUAGCUGGGAGUUCUAAAUGGGCAAGAGGAAUUUUGCUUUGAUUGUCUGCCUUCUAUCAUGUCAAGGAAUUUCUUAUGGGGUCAAAGAUUCCAACAUCUCACCAUGUCUUUGUGGUCUGUGUAUCUUAGAGGGUCAUGGAGUCAUUCUGAGCUCAAACUUAUGUGACCAUAAGCAAAUGAGGUCAAAGUUCCUUGUAAGCACAUGUUCUCCUAAAAUGAAAGCAUCUUUUUUUGCCCUCAAAAUUCAAGGAUUUGACAUGAACAGAAUUAUUCUUAGAGUUAGAAUCCUUAGGAAUUGUGGUGAUGACGGUGAUGAUGGUGAUGAUG